CGAGCGCACUCCCAGCUUCACUCAGGGCUGCUCGCCUUGUCGGGUCUGGUGAUCCCGGCCCAAGCGAGGGGUCGGGUAACGUGCUCAGUUGUUCUGCAAAGUCAGCCGGGAGCUGCACGGGUCGGAGCUGAGCGUAAUGGUGUGUGUCGGUGCCGAAAAGCCUGAGCUCCAUUUUAUUAAUGGCGUAAGCUGCAGGAUGCCAGAUUUGUGCUGAGUUUAUGCAAAAUAGGAUACGAAUGCAAAUAGAGAUGAAGUCUAUAAGUUCAGUGACAACCACUACAGCUUAAACUCUGCCUUAGAAUCAUAGAAGUGCUCAGGUUGGAAAAGACCUUAAAGAUCAUCGAGUCCAACCACAGCCUAACCAUACUACCCUAACCAACAACCCUCUGCUAAAUCAAGUCCCUGAGUGUCACAUCCAAAUGGUUUCCUUUUCACACCUCCUGUUGUGUCUCAUGCUCUUUGUGCUUCUCUUAUGUGAGUGGUGGCAGAGCCUGCGCUCCCCUCGCAGGGCUGUAUGGAGGAGUAACCAGCUGUGUCCUGUGCCACACCAGAGGAAGGAGAGUGUCCGUGUAUCACAGGCGCUCCCACGUCCAGGAAAAGGAGUGUUGUGUCUCAGCACUGCCGUUUCAGUGAGGAUGGUGUGGCUCGUGUCAGACUCCUUGACCCUGUGGAGGUGCUUUGGAGAGUAGGCACUGAAGUGGUGUCUACAGCCAGUGGAACUGCCCAUGAUGUGGGAUACAGAGGGAAAGUCUUUCACUCACCUUUACAAAGCUCCAGAAGGUGGGGGAGAGGGCCAGUGAAGACAUGCAAUGAAUGUCGAUAACUACCUUUAAUUUCUUAGGCAAAUGCUAAUUUGUUAUGGACCACCAUGCUGGAGAAAGAGCCAGCCCUGUGGCUCUUGUGGCAAUAAAAUUACUUGUGGAUUCAGGACCAAAAAAAAAUUGGAAGCACUGAAAUUCAGGGUUAUAAGAUUUAUGUCAAGUGGUAUAUAUUCAUUUUCAGCUAUUUGGGAGUUAGUACAUUGUUCAGUCUAAUGCCUCAACAACAACACUGGACUUUUCUUCCUCCAUAGAAGAAGAGUAAAAUUUUACAUCAGAAUGUGUGAAAAGUGCUCACUCAUCUGAAGGAUAUCAUUAGCAUCCUCAUAAGUAAAGAAGGAGGAGGGAUUCAUGCUGAAGUAAAGUCCUUCCAUCAUCACAGCUUUGUUGUACGCCUUUUGCAUUGUACUGAUCUGUCCAAUUGCUACAGUUCUGAAGAAUCUAUUUCCACAAGGAAAACAAACUUAACGUUCUAUUUGAAUUGCCCUUUUGGAUACAAUACAAUUUAUUUUAAUUUUUGAUACAUAAAACAGCAACAAUAUAUUUUUUCUAUUAAGAAAGUAAAAAGAAUUCUAGUUACCUUUCAAGACAAAUUCUCCAUGUUGAUAAAGGUAUCCUUUCUCCUAGGCAAACUCUGCCUUAAAAAAAUAAUCCUGUAGACAUAUUAGCAGUAGUAUUUGUUCAUAUGGAUUCAUAAACCAGAUUAUCUUCUCAUUUACAUCUCAUAAAACUACUAAUUACAGAGGAAUUAUUUUAGAUUGAUACAGAUAUAGAUAAUAGCCCAUGUGUUUUACUUUGGAUUGAUUUGCUAAAAGAUAAAUCUUAAUAAAAUAUUCAAACAAUAUUAGGUUCAAAAUGUGCUGGUCUGACCUUCAUUACAACAGAUUUCAGAGAAUACCACCACCCAUGCCAAGUAUACCAAACUAUUCCAUUGUCUGUCUUUGCAGUAUAGGGACCUUUGUAGUACAAGCCGUUCAAGUUGGCUGAGUGACACCUGGUGGAAAAGAAAAAGAUGAGUAAGACCCCCAUCCAGAAGUUGCAAGCACUUUAGUUUCUCCAAAGUAAAAAAUUCACUGUGUUGGUAACAGCCCAGUCUGACAGCUGCAGAAAUUUGUAUUUGUGGACUGCAUUGCCCCACGCACAAGCAGUUUAAUUAGGGCACAACUGCAAGUACUCUUAACAUCUUUGAAACAAAAGUUAUUUCUGUUCUACAAGUUUUCUGACAUUAGCAGGUCUCCGAGUUCUGCCUGGUAAUCUGUCUUAAUGAAAUUCCAGAAUCCUCUAGGUCACAUGUAGCAGUAGAGCCUACAACAAGCAAAACUCUUGAAAAGAAAUAGUGUGCAGAUUUUUAUUGUUCCAGAGCAGCCCUUCUGAUGUCAUGCAGUUACCCACAUAGUGUGUUACAUGACAAAGCAUAAAUACCACUAUCAGUUUGCCUGUUCAACCAUUGAUUUCUAUUUAAAUAUAGGUUAAAUGUCACUGCUAGUUUAUAUAUACCACUUCCAUGGGCUGUCAGAGCUGGUAUUUUAUUUGACUGAACUACAUUCUUUUCGGCUGUUUAACAUACUGAAAUGCUGUUACAGGUUGUUAAUUAUGCUAACUGAAAACAAAACUGACUAACCUAGCAAAACCCCAAAGGCUUGACUAGCUAUCAGCACAACCUUGAUACUCAUUUGGUUUCUAGAAGAAAGUAUGUUUAGACUUAUGUCCACAUAUGGAGAGCAAAGUGCUUGUUUCUUCUGCAGCACAUUGCAGUAAAUCUGCCUAUUCGCCCAUUCAAAAUUUUCUUAAAGUGUUGUUAAUAUCAUGUUGUUAAUAUCUGUCUGUCGGACACCACAGUGUAUUUCAAAAGCAGACUUUAGAAAACAUUAAAACAAAACAGUCCAAAUGACAUUUAUGGAUAUUUUCACUGGUAAGUCUUAGUCCCAUUGACUUUGCUUACACUUUGUUAACAACAGUUUUUGAGAAACGAAAUAGCUAAAAUAUAUUCUGCAAAGACUGAAGGCAGGCUAAAGCAACUGGCCUUAUUGAAAAAGCAGUUGGCAUAUGACUACUGAUAGAAUUUUCUGAAGCAACAAGUCAAUAGUCACCUUAAAGUUAGUCUAAGUUCCUCCUUUCUUUCCGACAGGCUGAUUUUUAAAGCCAAAAACCCUACAGCAGUAGUUUCAAAAGUACAGCCAAUCUCAGUUUUCCACUGACAUUUUAUCUGAGUUAUAUAUUAACUCCAGCAGAGUCCUACAUGAAUGCAGCUAUGCUGUCUGCAGAAGGUUGGUGAGACACAAAGGCUGACUGCGACCUCAUGGCCCCUGCUUGAUAUCUGCCAAAUCUACUGUGGUCAUCCAUGCAUUCUGCAACUAAAAAUGGGAAUACUGGAGAAAGAAUAAGCUCAUGUCCACAUGGGCUUUUAGCUCUUACUUGGCAAUUCUACACCUUUGCAUUACCCUGGAAGGAGUGAAGCUUAUAAACCAAGUGCAGUGCCAGAGAGAACCUAGUACUGUGGACUUGAUUCCAAGCUGAAAAUGUCUGCUUACAAACAAGUGCGGAGAGAACAUUCUUCUGCAGGAGUCCACAAUAACAAAUGCAGAACUGGAGCAAUAGAUCUGAGCUAUUUUCUGUGCCUCACUUGUAACGCAUGCCUUGGUGGCAUUCAUAUUAUCUGAGUGUUUCUGUAUUUCAAUAGGCUAGAUAGUACAGAAUUGCUAAGAAAAAUUCCUUCACAGCUGAGAGCUCCUAUACAAAUCAGCCAAGAGCACUAAUUUCUUAUGUAUUUGCUAAUCUGUGCACAGCAUACUUGUGUUCUGAGUGCUCUCUUUUCUUUGAGCCUAACAGGAUUUCAGGAUACUACAAUUCUAUAAUAUUUUGCAGCUUUCAGUCUUCUAUUAAGCUUAACAUAAAGUCAGUAGCGAGACAGUGGAAUAAUACUACUACUAUCUGAUUUUCAUUAUCCAGAUAGACUGUCACUUUAACUAUGUCAGAUACACAUCCAUAAUAGGAACUAGCCUGGUAGGAGUCAGCUAUCUUUAGUAGUUAUGUAGCACCAACUACAAGGUAUUAAUAACUGUCAAGUUCUGCUCUAGAGCUACUUUUACAGAGAGAUUGUUCUUCUGUACAGGACAAUCCAGUAUAAAAAAAAAUUAAGUUUCUAAAAGACAAAAACAGUGUCAUUUAAGUGAGUGAUUAUUCACUGUUCUUAAAUCCCAUGUCACAGUAUCACAAUUUUAUACCAAGGUGUGGAUGUUGCUCUAAAUCUACAAAAGUUCAGAUUUCAUGGGAGGAGUAUCUCCCACAGUUUGUUUUCCCUUUUCCUAUAUCUCAUCUUUCAUGACAACUGCAAGAACAUUUGUCUACAUGUAAGUAUUUUCUGUAUGCCUCAAACACUCUGCCAACCUACCACCCCUGAAAUGUAUUAAAAUUAUUAGAUGUGAAAUGCUGAGCUAGGGGCUAAUUCCUAUCAGCUAAGCUGCUCACAGACAACUUAUGGAAACAGAAUGUGGAAAAUAAGGAGUUAAAGAACAGGAACAAAGGAUGACACAGAGAGGAAACAAUGGAGUUGAUUCAGCCUGGCAGCUCUCGCACAGUGAACUGAGAUCAGAACGAGAGAGUAGUGUGCUCUUCUGAGCUGUAUUUUAAAGCUGUCUAUUACCCAGAUAUAUCGCAUCGUUUCUUUUCAUGGCUAUUUUUAGUAUGUGAAGUAUAUGAAACAACAGAGCUGCCUAUAUAUAUGGUGCUAACAUUAUCAGUUUUGGUCUUCCUUUUAGAAUUGCUAUUGUAUAGAUAAGUAGGGUUUUAAAUUUCUUUUUAAUGAAACCUAUUUAAAAUUUGUUUCCUUUCAGUCCAGUCAUGUGCACUGACAAACUGAGUGAACUCUUUCCCAUCUUGGUAUAGAAGGAAUAACAAGAAUGAAAUGCUGUGAACUGAGUUCACUUCCAGUUUUAAUGACCAAGCCUAGUACCUACCUAUUAAAAUUCUGGCUGCCAUCAGAACGUCUCUGAAAAACAGUCCAACC